CUUCAAUUCAGCGCGCUGCGGUACACUUGCUUGGGCUGAAUUUGCUGGGUUCAUUCUUCUCAGCAGUUAUUAGCUUGUGGGUGACGGAUCCGGAGUUCGCAACGGCUAUACUGUGUACUGUAAUAAGGCACGAGCUGCGAAGGAUUCUUGAUAGACGGGUAGCGCAAUUACCCGACACUUACCUAGUUUUAUGGCAGCUGAAGAUUGG
rnacentral:lncRNA from 1 species